rnacentral:misc_RNA from 1 species
UUAAGUUCAGCGGGUAUCCCUACCUGAUCCGAGGUCAACCUUAAAAAAUUGGGGGUUGUUGGCAAGCACACACCCGGUGAUCCGAAGCGAGAAGAAUUACUACGCUUGGAGCCGAGAGGCACCGCCACUGAUUUUAAGGCCUGCCGUUUCCAGCAGAGCCCAAUACCAAGCAGAGCUUGAGGGUUGUAAUGACGCUCGAA